UAGAGUUUUCAAAACUCCCAACCCAUGUGAAUCUACCACUGUUGCCUCGGCGGGGCCUACCCCGCAGCUACCCUAUAAGGUGCUGCCCUGUAGCCCGCCGGUGGACUUCUAAACUAUGUUAUGUAUGGAUAUCUGAGCGUCUUAUUUUAAUAAGUCA
rnacentral:misc_RNA from 2 species